rnacentral:rRNA from 1 species
UACGUAGGGUGCAAGCGUUGUCCGGAGUUACUGGGCGUAAAGGGUGCGUAGGCGGUCCUAUAAGUAUGGUGUGAAAUCUCCCGGCUUAACUGGGAGGGUGCGCUACAGACUGCAUGGCUAGAGUGUGGGAGAGGAAAGUGGAAUUCCUGGUGUAGCGGUGAAAUGCGUAGAUAUCAGGAGGAACACCGGUGGUGUAAACGG